GAUGAAGAACGUAGCGAAAUGCGAUAAGUGAUGCGAAUUGCAGAAUUUCCGUGAGUCAUCGAAUCUUUGAACGCACAUUGCGCCCACUGGUAUUCCGGUGGGCAUGCCUGUUCGAGCGUCAUUAUCCUCCCUCAAACCUCGGGUUUGGUGUUGGACCCAAGUUGUGUGAACAACUGGUCUCAAAGACAAUGACGGCGUCCGUGGGACCCUCGGUGCAACGAGCUUUUAGGAGCACGCGUCGAGUUUCAAGGACCUUCCGGGCCGGUCUCCUUUACUAUUUUUACAAGGUUGACCUCGGAUCAGGUAGGAAUACCCGCUGAACUUAAGCAUAUCAAUAAGCGGAGGA
rnacentral:misc_RNA from 1 species